UACGGGGGGGGGCAAGCGUUGUUCGGAAUUACUGGGCGUAAAGGGCUCGUAGGCGGCCAACUAAGUCGGACGUGAAAUCCCCGGGCUCAACCUGGGAACUGCAUUUGUGACUGCAUGGCUAGAGUACGGUAGAGGGGGAUGGAAUUCCGCGUGUAGCAGUGAAAUGCGUAGAUAUGCGGAGGAACACCGAUGGCGAAGGCAAUCCCCUGGACCUGUACUGACGCUCAUGCACGAAAGCGUGGGGAGCAAACAGG
rnacentral:rRNA from 1 species